AGUUAAUUUAACCUCACGGUAUUUAAAAGCGUUUUUGUCAAGUGAGCGGGAAAGGUGAGUCAUCCGAUACUAUCUUUCGAAGGCAACAAAGGGAUUCGCCGCAGAUCCCCUCGUACUUAAAAGAGGGUUCACGGGCACCAUCUUUUGGUGUCUCAGACAUAUGACGCGUCAAUUAUCGUGACUCGUUGAACGAGGACAAGGGGCUACAAGAUGGAGGUUUCUCAGGAUUCGAGGCAGGAGGAUUUAUGAAAAAUGUUCCGAGAGGGCCAAAACGAUAAUCGACAGAACUCGCAGGAUGGACUCACAUGGUGUAUAGUGCCGUCGGCGGUUCUGGCAUCUCACUUCGUCAACCCUAAGUCGUCUCGUACAGAGGGAGAUGCGCGUCCCGACGCAAGGGGGGACGCCUUUCGCCACCUCUCGACGUCUCACCUCGCCAUGGGUACCCACAAGCAAAUCGUUGAUAAUGGCCACGCUCUCUUGCCUUCCGCCAUCAAAAUAUACUCGAAGGAAAGUUUGGCAAAUUCAUAAAACGGAAUUGCCAAUUUUUAUCUAAAUAAAUACCAAGUUGUACAAGAAUUUCACAGAAA